GACGAACGCUGGCGGCGUGCUUAACACAUGCAAGUCGAGCGGAGCGGCGAACGGGUGAGUAACGCGUGAGUAACUGCACCCCUCUCUGGGAUAACAGUUGGAAACGGAUGCUAAUACCGGAAAGUGGGGGAUGACUCGCGUCCGAUCAGCUUGUUGGUGGGGUAGUGGCCUACCAAGGCCACGACGGGUAGCCGGCCUGAGAGGGCGACCGGCCACAGUGUUCUGAGGUACGGCCCAAACUCGUACGGGAGGCAGCAGGGGGGAAUAUGGCACGAGGGGGGAAACCCUGAUGCAGCAACGCCGCGUGCGGGAUGACGGCCUUCGGGUUGUAAACCGCUUUCAGCUAUGACGCGGUAGUGGCAGAAGAAGCACCGGCUAACUACGUGCCAGCCGCCGCGGUAAUAC
rnacentral:rRNA from 1 species